AUGCACGCUGGCGGCGUGCCUAAUCCCUGCAAGUCGAGCGAACGGACGAGAAGCUUGCUUUUCUGAUGUUAGCGGCGGACGAGUGAGUAACACGUGGAUAACCUACCUAUAAGACUGGGAUAACUUCGGGAAACCGGAGCUAAUACCGGAUAAUAUUUUGAACCGCAUGGUUCAAAAGUGAAAGACGGUCUUGCUGUCACUUAUAGAUGGAUCCGCGCUGCAUUAGCUAGUUGGUAAGGUAACGGCUUACCAAGGCAACGAUGCAUAGCCGACCUGAGAGGGUGAUCGGCCACACUGGAACUGAGACACGGUCCAGACUCCUACGGGAGGCAGCAGUAGGGAAUCUUCCGCAAUGGGCGAAAGCCUGACGGAGCAACGCCGCGUGAGUGAUGAAGGUCUUCGGAUCGUAAAACUCUGUUAUUAGGGAAGAACAUAUGUGUAAGUAACUGUGCACAUCUUGACGGUACCUAAUCAGAAAGCCACGGCUAACUACGUG
rnacentral:rRNA from 1 species